AAUCUACCUUUCCGUCCGGGAUAACUAGCCGAGAGGUUAGCUAAUACCAGAUGCGCUCAUCGAACGGCUUCGUUUGAUGAUGAAAGCAGCAAUGCGCGGAUUGAGGAGCCUGCGGCCCAUUAGCUAGUUGGUGAGGUAACGGCCCACCAAGGCAACGAUGGGUAGCUGGUCUGAGAGGACGACCAGCCACACUGGGACUGAGACACGGCCCAG
rnacentral:rRNA from 1 species